GGCGGGACGGCGCACCAUGUACACUCUCACCAAGGGGCCCAGCAAGCUGGUCGCGCAGCGCCGCACAGGUGCCACACAGCAGCAGGUGGAGAGCAGGCUUGGCGAGCUCCUGAAAUGCCGGCAGCCGGUGCCGCCGACCGCGCUACCCACGCGCGAGCAGCCCUCUGCACAGCCUCAGGGACCCUGGCCCCUUGCAAGUCCGGGGCCAAGGCUUGUGUUCAAUCGAGUGAAUGGCCGGAGGCCCCUCACCACCUUGUGGCUUGGCUGGGUACCGGCCACACCUGAAGUGCCAACAUUUGGACUUUUGCACCUGUUGUUCCCUUGGCUUGGCUGUCCCAAGAUGCCAGAGUCAGGGGUCACCACAAUUGACAAGACACCAAAGUCAGACCCCAAGACCCAGGCAGUACUGGCUAGGGGUGUAGGAAUGAGUUUGCUUUCUCUGCCAAUUAAAGAAUUAAAAGGCAGACAUUGGGCUGGAGAGAUUGUUCAGCAGUUAAGAGCACUGACUGCUCUUCCAGAGGCCCUGAGUUCAAUUCCCAGCAACCACAUGGUGGCUCACAACCAUCUGUAAUGGGAUCUGAUGCCCUCUUCUGGUGUGUAUGAAAACAGCUACAGUGUACACAUAUAAAAAAAAUAAAUCUUUUUUU
rnacentral:lncRNA from 1 species